rnacentral:rRNA from 2 species
CAAGUCGACGAAGAACCUCCUUCGGGAGGGGAAGAGUGGCGAACGGGUGAGUAACACGUCGUUAAUCUGCCCUGCACUCUGGGAUAACUCCGGGAAACCGGAGCUAAUACCGGAUACGACCAUUGCGGGCAUCCGUGGUGGUGGAAAGCUCCGGCGGUGCAGGAUGAGCCCGCGGCCUAUCAGCUGGUUGGUGGGGUGAUGGCCUACCAAGGCGACGACGGGUAGCCGGCCUGAGAGGGCGACCGGCCACACUGGGACUGAGACACGGCCCAGACUCCUACGGGAGGCAGCAGUGGGGAAUAUUGCACAAUGGGCGCAAGCCUGAUGCAGCGACGCCGCGUGAGGGAUGACGGCCUUCGGGUUGUAAACCUCUUUCAGCAGGGAAGAAGCGCAAGUGACGGUACCUGCAGAAGAAGCACCGGCUAACUACGUGCCAGCAGCCGCGGUAAUACGUAGGGUGCGAGCGUUGUCCGGAAUUAUUGGGCGUAAAGAGCUCGUAGGCGGCUUGUCGCGUCGGAUGUGAAAGCCCGGGGCUUAACCCCGGGUCUGCAUUCGAUACGGGCAGGCUAGAGUUCGGUAGGGGAGAUCGGAAUUCCUGGUGUAGCGGUGAAAUGCGCAGAUAUCAGGAGGAACACCGGUGGCGAAGGCGGAUCUCUGGGCCGAUACUGACGCUGAGGAGCGAAAGCGUGGGGAGCGAACAGGAUUAGAUACCCUGGUAGUCCACGCCGUAAACGUUGGGCACUAGGUGUGGGCGGCAUUCCACGUCGUCCGUGCCGCAGCUAACGCAUUAAGUGCCCCGCCUGGGGAGUACGGCCGCAAGGCUAAAACUCAAAGGAAUUGA